GACGAACGCUGGCGGCGUGCUUAACACAUGCAAGUCGAACGGAAAGGCCCUGCUUUUGUGGGGUGCUCGAGUGGCGAACGGGUGAGUAACACGUGAGUAACCUGCCCUUGACUUUGGGAUAACUUCAGGAAACUGGGGCUAAUACCGGAUAGGAGCUCCUGCUGCAUGGUGGGGGUUGGAAAGUUUCGGCGGUUGGGGAUGGACUCGCGGCUUAUCAGCUUGUUGGUGGGGUAGUGGCUUACCAAGGCUUUGACGGGUAGCCGGCCUGAGAGGGUGACCGGCCACAUUGGGACUGAGAUACGGCCCAGACUCCUACGGGAGGCAGCAGUGGGGAAUAUUGCACAAUGGGCGGAAGCCUGAUGCAGCAACGCCGCGUGCGGGAUGACGGCCUUCGGGUUGUAAACCGCUUUCGCCUGUGACGAAGCGUGAGUGACGGUAAUGGGUAAAGAAGCACCGGCUAACUACGUGCCAGCAGCCGCGGUGAUACGUAGGGUGCGAGCGUUGUCCGGAUUUAUUGGGCGUAAAGGGCUCGUAGGUGGUUGAUCGCGUCGGAAGUGUAAUCUUGGGGCUUAACCCUGAGCGUGCUUUCGAUACGGGUUGACUUGAGGAAGGUAGGGGAGAAUGGAAUUCCUGGUGGAGCGGUGGAAUGCGCAGAUAUCAGGAGGAACACCAGUGGCGAAGGCGGUUCUCUGGGCCUUUCCUGACGCUGAGGAGCGAAAGCGUGGGGAGCGAACAGGCUUAGAUACCCUGGUAGUCCACGCUGUAAACGGUGGGUACUAGGUGUGGGGUCCAUUCCACGGGUUCCGUGCCGUAGCUAACGCUUUAAGUACCCCGCCUGGGGAGUACGGCCGCAAGGCUAAAACUCAAAGGAAUUGACGGGGCCCCGCACAAGCGGCGGAGCAUGCGGAUUAAUUCGAUGCAACGCGUAGAACCUUACCUGGGUUUGACAUGGAUCGGGAGCGCUCAGAGAUGGGUGUGCCUCUUUUGGGGUCGGUUCACAGGUGGUGCAUGGCUGUCGUCAGCUCGUGUCGUGAGAUGUUGGGUUAAGUCCCGCAACGAGCGCAACCCUUGUUCACUGUUGCCAGCACGUUAUGGUGGGGACUCAGUGGAGACCGCCGGGGUCAACUCGGAGGAAGGUGGGGAUGACGUCAAGUCAUCAUGCCCCUUAUGUCCAGGGCUUCACGCAUGCUACAAUGGCUGGUACAGAGAGUGGCGAGCCUGUGAGGGUGAGCGAAUCUCGGAAAGCCGGUCUCAGUUCGGAUUGGGGUCUGCAACUCGACCUCAUGAAGUCGGAGUCGCUAGUAAUCGCAGAUCUGCAACGCUGCGGUGAAUACGUUCCCGGGGCU
rnacentral:rRNA from 1 species